rnacentral:rRNA from 1 species
UACGAAGGGGGCUAGCGUUGCUCGGAAUUACUGGGCGUAAAGCGCACGUAGGCGGCCUGUUGCGUCCGCUGUGAAAUCCCGGGGCUUAACCCCGGGCGUGCAGUGGAUACGGGCUGGCUGGAGGCAGGCAGGGGAGAACGGAAUUCCCGGUGUAGCGGUGAAAUGCGCAGAUAUCGGGAGGAACACCGGUGGUGUAGACGGCUUUCUGGACCGUAACUGACGCUGAGACACGAAAGCGUGGGUAGCAAACAGG